rnacentral:rRNA from 1 species
GACGAACGCUGGCGGCGUGCCUAACACAUGCAAGUCGAGCGAAUGAAGUUCCUUCGGGAAUGGAUUUAGCGGCGGACGGGUGAGUAACACGUGGGCAACCUGCCUCAUAGAGGGGAAUAGCCUUCCGAAAGGGAGAUUAAUACCGCAUAAGAUUGUAGUACCGCAUGAUACAGCAAUUAAAGGAGCAAUCCGCUAUGAGAUGGGCCCGCGGCGCAUUAGCUAGUUGGUGACGUAACGGCUCACCAAGGCGACGAUGCGUAGCCGACCUGAGAGGGUGAUCGGCCACAUUGGGACUGAGACACGGCCCAGACUCCUACGGGAGGCAGCAGUGGGGAAUAUUGCACAAUGGGGGAAACCCUGAUGCAGCAACGCCGCGUGAGUGAUGACGGCCUUCGGAUUGUAAAGCUCUGUCUUCAGGGACGAUAAUGACGGUACCUGAGGAGGAAGCCACGGCUAACUACGUGCCAGCAGCCGCCGCGG